rnacentral:precursor_RNA from 1 species
UUCUAACAUUUGGCGCUUAGUAGAAUGUCACCGUUAACAAUGAAAACAUAAUGGUAGCAUUUACUAAGAGCUCAAAUGUAUGUU